rnacentral:rRNA from 1 species
GAUGAACGCUGGCGGCGUGCCUAAUACAUGCAAGUCGAGCGAACGGACUAUACGCUUGCUUCUCUGAUGUUAGCGUCGGACUUGUGAGUAACACGUUGAUAACCUACCUAUAAGACUGGGAUCACUUCGUGAAACAGGAGCUAAUACCGGAUAAUCUUUUGAACCUCAUUGUUCAAAAGUGAAAGAUGGUCUUGCUGUCUUUUAUCGCUGCAUCCGCGCUGCAUUUGCUAGUUGGUAAGGUAACGGCUUACCAAGGCAACGAUGCAUAGCCGACCUGGGAGGGUGAUCGGCCACACUGGAACUGAGACACGGUCCAGACUCCUACGGGAGGCAGCAGUAGGGAAUCUUCCGAAAUGGGCGAAAGCCUGACGGAGCAACGCGGCGUGAGGAAGGAAGUUCUUCGGAUCGUAAAACUCUGUUAUUAGGGAAGAACAGAUGUGUAAGUAAAUGUGCACAUCGUGACGGUACCUAAUCAGAAAGCCACGGCUAACUACGUG